rnacentral:rRNA from 1 species
GACGACCGCUGGCGGUGCGCCUUAUGCAUGCAAGUCGAGCGAAGCUUUUCUGUAGUUUACUACAGAAAAUGACUGAGCGGCGAACGGGUGAGUAACGCGUGAGCAAUCUACCUUAGUUACAGGGAUAGCCCGAGGAAACUCGGAUUAAUACCUGAUAUUCUUUUUUUCUCGCAUGAGUUUUAAAGGAAAGGUCAGCCGAACUAAGAUGAGCUCGCGUUCUAUCAGCUAGUUGGUGAGGUAAUAGCUCACCAAGGCAACGACGGAUAGCUGGUCUGAGAGGACGAUCAGCCACACUGGGACUGAGACACGGCCCAGACUCCUACGGGAGGCUGCAGCAGGGAAUAUUGUGCAAUGAGCGAAAGCUUGACACAGCGACACCGCGUGUGGGAUGACGGAUCUAGGUUUGUAAACCACUUUCAGGAGGGAAGAAAAUGACGGUACCUCCAUAAGAAGCCCCGGCCAACUACGUGCCAGCAGCCGCGGUAAUACGUAGGGGGCGAGCGUUGUCCGGAUUUAUUGGGCGUAAAGAGCUCGUAGGCGGUUCAACAAGUCGGUCGUGAAAGUUCAGGGCUCAACCCUGAAAUGUCGAUCGAUACUGUUGUGGCUAGGAUACGGUAGAGGUGAGUGGAAUUCCGAGUGUAGCGGUGAAAUGCGUAGAUAUUCGGAGGAACACCAAUUGCGAAGGCAGCUCACUGGGCCGCUAUCGACGCUGAGGAGCGAAAGCUAGGGGAGCAAACAGGAUUAGAUACCCUGGUAGUCCUAGCUGUAAACGAUGGAUACUAGACGUAGGAACUGGAUUGACGGUUUCUGUGUCGUAGCUAACGCGUUAAGUAUCCCGCCUGGGGAGUACGGUCGCAAGACUA